GAGGAAUAUUGCGCAAUGGGGGAAACCCUGACGCAGCAACGCCGCGUGGGUGAAGAAGGCCCUCGUUGGUUGUAAAGCCCUGUCAGGCGGGAAGAAACCUUUUCAGGUGAAUAGUCUGGAAAGCUGACGGUACCGCCAAAGGAAGCACCGGCUAACUCCGUGCCAGCAGCCGCGGUAAGACGGAGGGUGCAAGCGUUGUUCGGAAUCACUGGGCGUAAAGCGCGUGUAGGCGGUCCGGUAAGUCGGGUGUGAAAGCCCGAGGCUUAACCUCGGAAGUGCACUCGAAACUGUCGGGCUUGAGUACGGGAGAGGGAAGUGGAAUUCCUGGUGUAGAGGUGAAAUUCGUAGAUAUCAGGAGGAACACCGGUGGCGAAGGCGGCUUCCUGGACCGAUACUGACGCUGAGACGCGAAAGCGUGGGGAGCAAAC
rnacentral:rRNA from 1 species